UGCCCCGUAGUUCAAUGGUAGAACCGUGGAUUUUGGUUCCAUUAAUCUUAGUUCGAAUCUAGGCGGGGCAACCA
rnacentral:tRNA from 1 species